CAAGCCCUGGAAACGGGGUCUAAUACCGGAUACGACACACGGCCGCAUGGUCUGUGUGUGGAAAGCUCCGGCGGUGCAGGAUGAGCCCGCGGCCUAUCAGCUAGUUGGUGGGGUGAUGGCCUACCAAGGCGACGACGGGUAGCCGGCCUGAGAGGGCGACCGGCCACACUGGGACUGAGACACGGCCCAGACUCCUACGGGAGGCAGCAGUGGGGAAUAUUGCACAAUGGGCGCAAGCCUGAUGCAGCGACGCCGCGUGAGGGAUGACGGCCUUCGGGUUGUAAACCUCUUUCAGCAGGGAAGAAGCGCAAGUGACGGUACCUGCAGAAGAAGCACCGGCUAACUACGUGCCAGCAGCCGCGGUAAUACGUAGGGUGCGAGCGUUGUCCGGAAUUAUUGGGCGUAAAGAGCUCGUAGGCGGCCUGUCACGUCGGAUGUGAAAGCCCGGGGCUUAACCCCGGGUCUGCAUUCGAUACGGGCAGGCUAGAGUUCGGUAGGGGAGAUCGGAAUUCCUGGU
rnacentral:rRNA from 1 species